GACAGAGGGUGCAAACGUUGUUCGGAAUUACUGGGCGUAAAGCGCGUGUAGGCGGCUAUGCAAGUCGGGUGUGAAAGCCCUCAGCUCAACUGAGGAAGUGCGCCCGAAACUGCAGAGCUUGAGUACCGGAGAGGAUGGCGGAAUUCCCCAAGUAGAGGUGAAAUUCGUAGAUAUGGGGAGGAACACCGGUGGCGAAGGCGGCCAUCUGGACGGAUACUGACGCUGAGACGCGAAAGCGUGGGGAGCAAACAGG
rnacentral:rRNA from 1 species